GUUCUUCCGAACUAGAGACCGGCGCACGGGUGCGUAACGCGUAUGCAAUCUACCUUUUACAGAGGGAUAGCCCACAGAAAUUUGGAUUAAUACCUCAUAGUAUAUAGCCCUGGCAUCAGGAUUAUAUUAAAGUCACAACGGGAAAAGAUGAGCAUGCGUCCCAUUAACUAGUUGGUGAGGAAACGGCUUACCAAGGCUACGAUGGGUAGGGGUCCUGAGAGGGAGAUCCCCCACACUGGUGCUGAGACACGGACCAGACUCCUACGGGAGGCAGCAGUGAGGAAUAUUGGACAAUGGGCGCAAGCCUGAUCCAGCCAUGCCGCGUGCAGGAUGACGGUCCUAUGGAUUGUAAACUGCUUUUAUACUAGAAGAAACACUCCUACGUGAAGGAGCUUGACGGUAUCGUAAGAAUAAGGAUCUGCUAACUC
rnacentral:rRNA from 1 species